CCCAUCCAGACUUACGGAGCCAUAUAAACGAAAAUGUUUCUUCACUGUCAUGCUAAAAUAAACCACAGCAUUUAGCCUCUCGUAAAAAACAUAUUUUGGGUGUUUUAUACUCACUUUUUGGUCUCUUCCACAACGUUAUUCCUCUCUCCUACAAUGUUGAUUACAAUUACAUGCAAACUGGGAAAUAUGCAAAUUAGGCGAUGACGUCAUUUAGCGACUUCUAGUGACUUUUAGGACAGCCAACAGCGACUUUCCUUACUGAGGAGUUGGCAACAGUGGUAGCUUUACCUCAGUCUCAUGCUUUCUCCUGAGCUCUCCUUGUGGUGGUGACUGCAGCCGAGCGUGCUGGAUCUGGCAUGGCAGAUCGAGACGCACAUAAUACCACUGGUACAGUCACGCUGGGAGACGGGUCGUUCCGUUCAGCGUGCCGUGGGUGCGUCUGUGUCAGCAGGUAUAACUGCUGCUGUUUUUGUGGGAUCUCCUCCGCCUGCAUUGCUGCUACGCUGCGCCACGGCUAAUCGGGUUUGGUGAGCCUCGGCGGCAGUUUAAUCCCUGGAAGUGGUUCACAGAUCCCCUUUUCGUUGGUGUGUUGUCACAGGUGUGAUUAUUUGGACCCCUUUUUCUCUUCUGAUUAUUUCUUAUUUGUUUCCUGCCGCCAUGGUCUGUCAAGGACAACCACCAUCCAGAAGCAAUCAGAGGCAGCUGUUUUGAGUAUGAACUGCCUUUUUUUUUUUUCUAAAAAUAAUAGAAAUCCCAUCAGCCUAGUGGGAUAUAACACUGGAUAUUUAAAAAAUUGAAGAGAUGACAGCAUUUGUAAAUCAAAAACAAGAUUGGUUUGUUGCAUGUUGGGAAAAAUGGGUUGCUUAUGUAAAAAUUUAAAAAGCCCAAUUUAAUUUUGAGUCUAGAAACUUAAUGUAGUGGUCACUCCCUAAUGUUUAUAAAGAUGUUCAUGUUUCCAUUUAUUUUAUUUUAUUUUCCUCUUUUUGAUGGGAAAUUGUUUUCUGAAAAAUAAGUGUUAUUGUGCACAAGCAGGCACAUGUGAAUUGUACCCAUCAGUAAAAAUUUGAUAAAACUGAAAAAUAAAGAAUUGUAUAAAAAAAAAAUAGAAAUCCCAUUCAUGAAAA